GAUGAAGAACGUAGCGAAAUGCGAUAAGUAAUGCGAAUUGCAGAAUUCAGUGAAUCAUCGAAUCUUUGAACGCACAUUGCGCCCGCCAGUAUUCUGGCGGGCAUGCCUGUCUGAGCGUCGUUUCGACCCUCGCGCCCGGCUUCUGUCGGGGGCGGUGUUGGGGAUCGGCCACACCCUUCAGUGGGAGGCCGGCCCCUAAAUUCAGUGGCGACCACGCUGUAGCCUCCCCUGCGUAGUACUAAAACCACCUCGCAGGCGGAGAGCGGUGCGGCCCGCCGUAAAACCCCCCAACUUUUACUAGGUCGACCUCAGAUCAGGUAGGAAUACCCGCUGAACUUAAGCAUAUCAAUAAGCGGAGGA
rnacentral:misc_RNA from 1 species